UUGGGUCACUAGGGGUGCCGUCGCCGAAAUGCCGGUGAAGGCUGAGAUCACACCCUCCGAACCUGAUCCGGUUAAUGCCGGCGCAGGGAAGUGCAGGAAGUGCGGC
rnacentral:ncRNA from 2 species